ACCCGCUGAACUUAAGCAUAUCAAUAAGCGGAGGAAAAGAAACCAACAGGGAUUGCCCUAGUAACGGCGAGUGAAGCGGCAACAGCUCAAAUUUGAAAUCUGGCGUCUUUGGCGUCCGAGUUGUAAUUUGCAGAGGGCGCUUUGGCAUUGGCAGCGGUCCAAGUUCCUUGGAACAGGACGUCACAGAGGGUGAGAAUCCCGUACGUGGUCGCUAGCCUUUACCGUGUAAAGCCCCUUCGACGAGUCGAGUUGUUUGGGAAUGCAGCUCUAAAUGGGAGGUAAAUUUCUUCUAAAGCUAAAUACUGGCCAGAGACCGAUAGCGCACAAGUAGAGUGAUCGAAAGAUGAAAAGCACUUUGGAAAGAGAGUUAAAAAGCACGUGAAAUUGUUGAAAGGGAAGCGCUUGCAGCCAGACUUGCCUGUAGUUGCUCAUCCGGGUUUUUACCCGGUGCACUCUUCUAUAGGCAGGCCAGCAUCAGUUUGGGCGGUUGGAUAAAGGUCUCUGUCACGUACCUCCUCUCGGGGAGAACUUAUAGGGGAGACGUAAUGCAACCAGCCUGGACUGAGGUCCGCGCAUCUGCUAGGAUGCUGGCGUAAUGGCUGUAAGCGGCCCGUCUUGAAACACGGACCAAGGAAUCUAACAUCUAUGCGAGUGUUUGGGUGUCAAGCCCGAGCGCGUAAUGAAAGUGAACGGAGGUGGGAACCUUUCGGGGUGCACCAUCGACCGAUCCUGAUGUCUUCGGAUGGAUUUGAGUAAGAGCAUAGCUGUUGGGACCCGAAAGAUGGUGAACUAUGCUUGAAUAGGGUGAAGCCAGAGGAAACUCUGGUGGAGGCUCGCAGCGGUUCUGACGUGCAAAUCGAUCGUCAAAUUUGGGCAUAGGGGCGAAAGACUAAUCGAACUAUCUAGUA
rnacentral:rRNA from 1 species